rnacentral:misc_RNA from 1 species
UACGUAGGUGGCAAGCGUUGUCCGGAAUUAUUGGGCGUAAAGGGCGCGCAGGCGGUCCUUUAAGUCUGAUGUGAAAGCCCACGGCUCAACCAUGGAAUGGCAUUGGAAACUGGAGGACUUGAGUGCAGAAGAGGAAAGUGGAAUUCCAUGUGUAGCGGUGAAAUGCGUAGAGAUGUGGAGGAACACCAGUGGCGAAGGCGACUUUCUGGUCUGUAACUGACGCUGAGGCGCGAAAGCGAGGGGAGCAAACAGG